rnacentral:tRNA from 1 species
GCUGCAAUGGUGUAUCGGUAACAUUAAACACUUCCAAUGUUUAGCACUGGGUUCGACUCCCAGUUGCAGCA